GACGAACGCUGGCGGCGUGCUUAACACAUGCAAGUCGAACGAAGUGGCGAACGGGUGAGUAACGCUUAAUCAACCUGCCCUUCAGAGGGGGACCACAGUUGGAAACGACUGCUAAUACCGCAUACUGAAGGAGGGGAUUGCGUCUGAUUAGCUCGUUGGGGGGGUAACGGCCCACCAAGGCGAUGAUCAGUAGACGGUCGGAGAGUGUGAACGGCCAACAUGGGACUGGUGCAACGCCCAGACUCCUACGGGAGGGAGCAAGGGGGAAUUUUCCGCAAUGGGCGAAAGUCUGACGGAGCAACGCCGCGUGAGUGAUGACGGCCUUCGGGUUGUAAAGCUAUGUUAAUCGGGACGCGGUACCGGAAUAGAAAGCCACGGCUAACUACGUGCCAGCAGCCGCGGUAAUAC
rnacentral:rRNA from 1 species